ACGACAGAGCCGUCUACUGCAGCAGAUCCUCUUCUUCCUGUUGUACUCGCCAACAGAAUCCAAGAGUUUGAGAAGGAACGAAGGAAAAGGGAAGAGGAGCUGGAGAGGGAGAAGCAGCAGCAGGUGGUUCUGCUGCAGGAGCUGGAAGAGCAGAAAGCCAAACUGGAGCAGCUGCUGCUUGAGGCUCAGCAGGAGAGAGAAGAUCUGAAGGCUACUUAUCAACCAGAGGUACCUGUCCGUGACCAGGAGGUCAUCUCUGUCACUCCUGGUCCAGUCACUGAGGCGGUGCUUCCUGCAGGUGAAAAUGACCACACUAGAAGGAUUAAAGAAUUUCAACAGCAGCUGCUGGAGCGAAACAG